AUGACGGUGCUAGCAUGGAACUGUCGAGGCCUCGGGCAACCUCGCACAGUUCAAGAACUGGUGUGCCUCGUGCAGACAUACAAGCCCAAGCUCGUCUUCCUCUCUGAAACGCGGCAGAAUAAUAAGUAUGUUAAGAGCCUUAAGUGGAGGCUAGGCCUUCGCCAUUGUAUCACGCAACCCGGCAUUGGACAAGGUGUCGGCAUUGCCCUAUUUUAUGGUGAGAAUGUUGAAAUAAAAAAGAUUGCCGCAGGGGCGAGAUACAUCGAUGUGUUGAUCAGGUUAAAUCCCAAUGGCCUUCAGUGGCGUGGAACUUUUGUCUAUGCUGAACCAAAGGCUCAUGAACGACACCAUAUGUGGACGUUGUUGAGGAGAAUCAAGGAUACUAGUGACCUCCCAUGGCUUAUGGUGGGAGAUUUUAAUGAAACUAUGUGGCAAGCGGAGCACUUAUCUGCCACUAGAAGGUCAGAGAGUAAUAUGGAGAAUCUUUGA
rnacentral:rRNA from 1 species